CGCACCUUGCGCUCCUUGGUAUUCUGAGGAGCAUGCCUGUUUGAGUGUCAUGAAAUUCUCAACCUUUUUAAGCUUUUUGUUAAUGCUUAUUAAGGCUUGGAUUCUGGGAGUUUGCUGGCUUUUUAUUGAGUUAGCUCUUCUUAAAUACAUUAGCAAAGAUCACCGCUGAAUCAAUCUUUGAUAUGAUAAUUAUAUAUCCAUAUUAUUGAUGUUCAAGGAAAAGAUAUAGCUUCCAACCGUCUUCAGAGACAGUCUGAUAUAUUAUUUUGACCUCAAAUCAGGUAGGACUACCCGCUGAACUUAA
rnacentral:misc_RNA from 1 species